UCGUUACAUUAGCUUUUUUGCUACGUUUUGUAAAAGGGAAAAUCCACUGUAAUUUGACCUUUUGCUUUACAUUUUAUUAAAGAGAAAGAACUCCUGGAAUAAAUCCUUUUGCGUCAAGUUUUGUAAAAGGAAAAAAUCCUCUGGAAUGGAACCUUUCGUUACGUUUUGUAAAAGGGGAAAAUCCCUUGUAACCGUUCUGUUAGCUUUUAUGACAAAUUUUGUAACAAUGAAAAAUCCUGGAAUUGAGCCUUUUUGUUAGAUAAAUACUAACGCACAAUAUAGUAUAUUACUGUUCCCAUUUAUUAAAAGAAAAGUGAAUUUUAUAAGCUUCAAAGAAGUAUUUUCGUUUGUAUAAAGCCAGGCUUCAAAACCGACUUGUUUUUCCAGUGAAACGGCAACGUUUUUCUUAUAAUUUCCACAACAAAAGCGUGAUUUCCGUUGAAGUUGGGUGCAAAUAGUCUUUAUAUGGCUAUUUGCACCCGGGUGCAAAUAGUCACUUCG